rnacentral:rRNA from 1 species
GUACACUCCUACGGGAGGCAGCAGUGGGGAAUAUUGGACAAUGGGCGCAAGCCUGAUCCAGCCAUGCCGCGUGAGUGAUGACGGCCCUAGGGUUGUAAAGCUCUUUCACCGGUGAAGAUAAUGACGGUAACCGGAGAAGAAGCCCCGGCUAACUUCGUGCCAGCAGCCGCGGUAAUACGAAGGGGGCUAGCGUUGUUCGGAUUUACUGGGCGUAAAGCGCACGUAGGCGGACUAUUAAGUCAGGGGUGAAAUCCCGGGGCUCAACCCCGGAACUGCCUUUGAUACUGGUAGUCUUGAGUUCGAGAGAGGUGAGUGGAAUUCCGAGUGUAGAGGUGAAAUUCGUAGAUAUUCGGAGGAACACCAGUGGCGAAGGCGGCUCACUGGCUCGAUACUGACGCUGAGGUGCGAAAGCGUGGGGAGCAAACAGGAUUAGAAACCCCAGUAGUCCCA